rnacentral:misc_RNA from 1 species
AUAUAAUUAAUGUAAUCAUUCGCGUGAUUGUGUACUAUAAUCAUGGGAGUGUGUUGUAAAUAUGUAAUUGAUUGUAACCCUGUACAUUUAGUGUACCCUAAAUGUAUAUAUACCCACAAAAGCCUGAGGGAAUUAGUCAAGCUCUUUUUUUCUCCCAUAUUUUUCUUCUACUUCUUCUUCUUUUACAAUUGCAUCCUCUUAAGAUGGUCUUUGCAGAUUUCUUGUCAGGUAGCAUGGUCAUUUCGAUUCCAACGCUGUUUGGAUUACUGAAGAGGAAUUUCAAAAUUCAUAUCGUUCUCUCUUGAAUUCUCAUUAGUAGUUCAACUUUUUGAAGUCAAGUUCUUUUCAACCAAGGAGGAAUGAUGUAAGAUCUUUUAGAGAUUUUAGGAAGAAAAUUAGAAAGUACAUUUUAAUUUGAAGUUGUUUUAGCAUUCCUAAUUUUUGUUG